rnacentral:piRNA from 1 species
UGCUUACUGGACUAAUGUAAAUGUGCCCUGC